rnacentral:rRNA from 1 species
AAUAGAUACCCGGGUAGUCCACGCCGUAAACGGUGGGCACUAGAUGUGGGGCGUCAUUCCAGUGAGUUCCGCGUCGCAGCUAACGCAUUAAGUGCCCCGCCUGGGGAGUACGGCCGCAAGGCUAAAACUCAAAGGAAUUGACGGGGGCCCGCACAAGCGGCGGAGCAUGCGGAUUAAUUCGAUGCAACGCGAAGAACCUUACCAAGGCUUGACAUAUACGGUCUAUCCCUAGAGAUAGGGAGUGCUUUGGCGCCGUAUACAGGUGGUGCAUGGUUGUCGUCAGCUCGUGUCGUGAGAUGUUGGGUUAAGUCCCGCAACGAGCGCAACCCUCGUUCUAUGUUGCCAGCACGUAAUGGUGGGGACUCAUAGGAGACUGCCGGGGUCAACUCGGAGGAAGAUGGGGAUGACGUCAAAUCAUCAUGCCCCUUAUGUCUUGGGCUUCACGCAUGCUACAAUGGCCGGUACAAAGGGCUGCAAUCCGUAAGGUGGAGCGAAUCCCAAAAAGCCGGUCUCAGUUCGGA